UACGUAGGUGGCGAGCGUUGUCCGGAUUUACUGGGCGUAAAGGGAGCGUAGGCGGACUUUUAAGUGAGAUGUGAAAUACCCGGGCUCAACUUGGGUGCUGCAUUUCAAACUGGAAGUCUAGAGUGCAGGAGAGGAGAAUGGAAUUCCUAGUGUAGCGGUGAAAUGCGUAGAGAUUAGGAAGAACACCAGUGGCGAAGGCGAUUCUCUGGACUGCAACUGACGCUGAGGCUCGAAAGCGUGGGGAGCAAACAGGAUUAGAUACCCCGGUA
rnacentral:rRNA from 1 species